rnacentral:tRNA from 1 species
GCCUGUAGCUCAGCGGUAGAGCAGGAACGUCUUUCCAAACCUUCGUCGCCGUGGAUCUUAAUACAAAUCGCUGUCGGAUGCCGGUGGGACUACAUGGUUAGAGCACCUGCGAAUGCAGGAGGUCGGCGGUCCGAGUCCGCCCCCGGGCA